GAUCAUGGCUCAGGAUGAACGCUGGCGGCGUGCCUAACACAUGCAAGUCGAACGAAGCGCUUUGAAGUUUUCGGACAGAUGAGUGACUGAGUGGCGGACGGGUGAGUAACGCGUGGGUAACCUGCCUCAUACAGGGGGAUAACAGUUAGAAAUGACUGCUAAUACCGCAUAAGCGCACAGUACCGCAUGGUACAGUGUGAAAAACUCCGGUGGUAUGAGAUGGACCUGCGUCUGAUUAGCUAGUUGGUGAGGUAACGGCCCACCAAGGCGACGAUCAGUAGCCGACCUGAGAGGGUGACCGGCCACAUUGGGACUGAGACACGGCCCAAACUCCUACGGGAGGCAGCAGUGGGGAAUAUUGCACAAUGGGGGAAACCCUGAUGCAGCGACGCCGCGUGAGUGAAGAAGUAUUUCGGUAUGUAAAGCUCUAUCAGCAGGGAAGAAAAUGACGGUACCUGACUAAGAAGCCCCGGCUAACUACGUG
rnacentral:rRNA from 1 species